rnacentral:snoRNA from 1 species
AUCCUAGAGCCAUAGUGAGUGUGACUGUUGUGUCACAUGUGCGUCAGUAGGUGGCAGAGAGAAGAGAGACCAUGUCUACAUUCUGCUAUGUCUGAGAUUAGCAGCCUAACACU